AUGAGUGCACCCCACACACUCAGCAGAUGUAGCUAGAUGAGAGGAGGGUUACUCCCCUCCUUACAGCAGCACAACUGUGCUCAUUUCUUACCUAACCUGAGCCCCAGGCACACUCAACAUGCAAGAAUGACACCACUCUACCUACUAGUGUGGGACAAUGCCUGUGACGGUCUGGGGCUUACACCUGGAGGGAGUCUACGAGGCUUAGCACGGCACCUGCAUGACACACGUGUAUUAACAUGGGUGACUUUUGCCAAGAGCGAAUCCUGCCAGGACAGGCCUGGGAAUGUGGGUCCUGCCUGUGAGCCUGAGAUGGGGGCCAGAGCUGCAGAGAGGAAUGGAAACCUGGCCUUUAUCAAGGGCUUUUUCUGUGGCAACCGAAAGAACCCCAACCGAAGUGGCCAAGUAGGCACUUUCUGAUCCCAGACAAGUGUUCAGAAUCCACGUGCUUGCAUAUGGAGACAAGCUGCAUUGUCCAUUCUCAGCUUUUAUUUAAAAAUGAAGGGGACGGUGUGACCUCUGUCUAUUGAAUUGCUUCUUUAUCUCUUAAUUUCUUCUUCAAUUGGGUAGAGAGCGCCGAGGAGGUACUUGUGAGGCAACUUUAAAUUUUGACACCAUUUGGCUUUAGUAUGAUAGUGGCCGUAAAUAUCAUUCUUGUGCUUCUUUUUUUAUGAUUUAUUUAUUUAGUUAUUCAUGAGAGACAGAGAGAGAGAGAGAGACUGAGAGAGAG
rnacentral:lncRNA from 1 species